GUAGGUGGCAAGCGUUGUCCGGGAUUAUUGGGCGUAAAGCGCGCGCAGGCGGUUCUUUAAGUCUGAUGUGAAAGCCACGGCUCAACCGUGGAGGGUCAUUGGAAACUGGAGAACUUGAGUACAGAAGAGGAAAGCGGAAUUCCACGUGUAGCGGUGAAAUGCGUAGAGAUGUGGAGGAACACCAGUGGCGAAGGCGGCUUUCUGGUCUGUAACUGACGCUGAGGCGCGAAAGCGUGGGGAGCAAACAGGAUUAGAUACCCUGGUAGUCCACGCCGUAAACGAUGAGUGCUAAGUGUUAGGGGGGUUUUCCGCCCCCCUUAGUGCUGCAGCUAACGCAUUAAGCACUCCGCCUGGGAGUACGGCCGCAAGGCUG
rnacentral:rRNA from 1 species